GUACUACUCCCUCCGUCCGAAAAUACUUGUCGGAGGAAUGGAUGUAUCUAGACGUAAUUUAGUUUUAGAUACAUCCAUUUUCAUCCAUUUCUCCGACAAGUAUUUCCGGACGGAGGGAGUAUAUG
rnacentral:pre_miRNA from 1 species